CCUGCAACACGGAACCCAGAUGGCAGCUCUCUUGAAUCUGCUUCGGUUUCCUUUAACAGCCUCUUUACCGAAGCUGCCCUGAAGAGGAUGCUCGCGCUUGGCUCAGCAGGAGGAACCGGCAGAAUCGGGUUUCCAAGAAGAUGAGACUCCCAAGUACUAAGUAGAAAGAAAAGACAAAUGAGAAGCCAAAGGGCCGCCCUGCCCAGCUCUCUGGAGACUUCCUCCCUCCUACCUUGAGCUCUUCUGCCAUAUUCCAUAUUCCCUGUCUGGGUUCAGUUGAAGCUCUUGUCCCCUGAGAAGCUCCGGUUUUCUUCCCGUGUGGAGGGGAAGGAGGAGAGCGAGGAAGAGACCCACGAGUCUGCUCACCCCUCUGAGAUGAAGAAUUCAAGCUGCGAUUAAAUGGCAUCUGCUGUCCUCCCGAGAACUCCACUGGAGUGCAUGAUCCUGAGAGAAAAACUGGGAAUUUUCUUUCCUUUUUUUCCCCUUUUCUUUCCUUUCUUUUCGUCUAUUCAAUGUGUCUUCCACAUCGGGCAUCUCAAUCCCAUUCAU